rnacentral:rRNA from 1 species
AUUGAACGCUGGCGGCAGGCCUAACACAUGCAAGUCGAACGGUAGCACAGAGGAGCUUGCUCCUUGGGUGACGAGUGGCGGACGGGUGAGUAAUGUCUGGGAAACUGCCCGAUGGAGGGGGAUAACUACUGGAAACGGUAGCUAAUACCGCAUAACGUCUUCGGACCAAAGUGGGGGACCUUCGGGCCUCACACCAUCGGAUGUGCCCAGAUGGGAUUAGCUAGUAGGUGGGGGAAUGGCUCACCUAGGCGACGAUCCCUAGCUGGUCUGAGAGGAUGACCAGCCACACUGGAACUGAGACACGGUCCAGACUCCUACGGGAGGCAGCAGUGGGGAAUAUUGCACAAUGGGCGCAAGCCUGAUGCAGCCAUGCCGCGUGUAUGAAGAAGGCCUUCGGGUUGUAAAGUACUUUCAGCGGGGAGGAAGGCGUUAAGGUUAAUAACCUUGGCGAUUGACGUUACCCGCAGAAGAAGCACCGGCUAACUCCGUGCCAGCCGCCGCCGUAA